AACGAACGCUGGCGGCAUGCCUAACACAUGCAAGUCGAACGAGACCUUCGGGUCUAGUGGCGCACGGGUGCGUAACGCGUGGGAACCUGCCCUUAGGUUCGGAAUAACUCCCCGAAAGGGGUGCUAAUACCGGAUAAUGUCUUCGGACCAAAGAUUUAUCGCCUUUGGAUGGGCCCGCGUUGGAUGAGCUAGUUGGUAGGGUAAAAGCCUACCAAGGCGACGAUCCAUAGCUGGUUUGAGAGGAUGAUCAGCCACACUGGGACUGAGACACGGCCCAGACGCCUACGGGAAGCAGCAGUGGGGAAUAUUGGACAAUGGGCGAAAGCCUGAUCCAGCAAGUCCGCGUGAGUGAUGAAGGCCUUAGGGUUGUAAAGCUCUUUUACCCGGGAUGAUAAUGACAGUACCGAGAGAAUAAGCGCCGGCUAACUCCGUG
rnacentral:rRNA from 1 species